GACGAACGCUGGCGGCGUGCUUAACACAUGCAAGUCGAACGAUGAAACCUAGCUUGCUAGGUCGAUUAGUGGCGAACGGGUGAGUAACACGUGACUAACCUGCCCCUUUCUCUGGGAUAACGCUCCGAAAGGAGUGCUAAUACCGGAUACUCACACCGAGGCACAUGCCUUGGUGUGGAAAGUUUUUCGGAAAGGGAUGGAGUCGCGGCCUAUCAGCUUGCUGGUGAGGUAACGGCUCACCAAGGCGACGACGGGUAGCCGGCCUGAGAGGGCGACCGGCCACACUGGGACUGAGACACGGUCCAGACUCCUACGGGAGGCAGCAGUGGGGAAUAUUGCACAAUGGGCGAAAGCCUGAUGCAGCGACGCCGCGUGAGGGAUGAAGGUCUUCGGAUUGUAAACCUCUUUCAGUAGGGACGAAGCGAAAGUGACGGUACCUAAAGAAGAAGCACCGGCUAACUACGUGCCAGCCGCCGCCGUAA
rnacentral:rRNA from 1 species